rnacentral:pre_miRNA from 1 species
CUACAGCACACGGCGUCUGGACGUUUGGUUUUUAGUUGCACUACUUACGCAAAGUGUGCUGAAUGUACGGAAAUCGUUCGUGAUGCACCGG